rnacentral:rRNA from 1 species
GACGUAGGGGGCAAGCGUUGUCCGGAAUCAUUGGGCGUAAAGCGCUCGUAGGUGGAUCGGUAAGUCUGCAAAGAAAGACCCGGGCUCAACUCGGGGAACGGUGUGGAUACUACCGAUCUUGAGGCAAUCAGAGGAUGAUGGAAUUCCCGGUGUAGCGGUGAAAUGCGUAGAUAUCGGGAGGAACGCCAGUGGCGAAGGCGAUCAUCUGGGGUUGUUCUGACACUGAGGAGCGAAAGCUAGGGGAGCAAACGGG